rnacentral:rRNA from 1 species
CCCCGGGGAUAACAGGCUUAUCUCCCCCAAGAGUUCACAUCGACGGGGAGGUUUGGCACCUCGAUGUCGGCUCAUCGCAUCCUGGGGCUGUAGUCGGUCCCAAGGGUUGGGCUGUUCGCCCAUUAAAGCGGUACGCGAGCUGGGUUCAGAACGUCGUGAGACAGUUCGGUCCCUAUCCGUCGUGGGCGUAGGAAAUUUGAGAGGAGCUGUCCUUAGUACGAGAGGACCGGGAUGGACAUACCUCUGGUGUACCAGUUGUCGUGCCAACGGCAUAGCUGGGUAGCUAUGUAUGGACGGGAUAAGUGCUGAAAGCAUCUAAGCAUGAAGCCCCCCUCAAGAUGAGAUUUCCCAACUUCGGUUAUAAGAUCCCUCGAAGAUGACGAGGUUAAUAGGUUCGAGGUGGAAGCGUGGUGACACGUGGAGCUGACGAAUACUAAUCGAUCGAAGACUUAAUCAA